GACGAACGCUGGCGGCGUGCUUAACACAUGCAAGUCGAACGGGCCCGCUCUCUUUUUUGGGGGUGGGUUGAGUGGCGAACGGGUGAGUAUCCCGUGAGUAACCUGCCCCCUGCUCCUGGAUAACUGCUUGAAAGGGCGGCUAAUACGGGGUGUGCCGGCUGGUCCGCAUGGGCCUGGUCGGGAUAGUUUCAUCUUCGGGUGUUUCGGUGGGGGAUGGGCUCGCGGCCUUUUAGCUUGUUGGUGGGGUGAUGGCCCACCAAGGUGGUUACGGGUAGCCGGCCUGAGAGGGCGGGCGGCCACGCUGGGACUGAGGCACGGCCCACACUCCGGAGGGAGGCAGCAGUGGGGGGUACUGAACAAGGGGCGGAAGCCUGAUGCAGCGACGGCGAGUGAGGGAUGGAGGCCUUCGGGUUGUGAACCUCUUUCUCCGGUGGUGAAGGCCCUGUCCGUUGCGGCGGGGUUGACGGUAGCCGGGUAUGAAGCGCCGGCUAACUACGUG
rnacentral:rRNA from 1 species